rnacentral:rRNA from 1 species
GGCCAGCAGCCGCGGUAAUACGUAGGGUGCUAGCGUUGUUCGGAAUCACUGGGCGUAAAGGGAGUGUAGGCGGGAUCGUAAGUUAGGAGUUUAAUGCAUGGGCUUAACCCAUGAUCUGCUUUUAAUACUGCGGUUCUUGAGUAUGGGAGAGGGCGAUGGAAUUCCAGGUGUAGCGGUGGAAUGCGUAGAUAUCUGGAAGAACACCAGUAGCGAAGGCGGUCGCCUGGCCCAAUACUGACGCUGAUGCUCGAAAGCUAGGGGAGCAAACAGGAUUAGAUACCCUGGUAGUCCUAGCCGUAAACGAUGGACACUAGUUGCUGGAGGAGUCAAUCCUUUCGGUGACGAAGCUAACGCAUUAAGUGUCCCGCCUGGGGAGUACGCUCGCAAGGGUGAAACUUAAAGGAAUUGGCGGGGGA